AAUUGGAAGGCAGAAGAUUUUAUAGAUGAUUUAUAGUCUCCCGAAAUAUACAGAUAAAACAUGUUUAACAGUAAUGUGUUUUCAUGUUAUCUUUUUAACCUUUGUCGGAAACAUUAUUUUUGUUAGGUAGAGAGACGGUAAUCGAGACUUUAUGGCCUAGUGGAUGAGGUCACAGUCUACAAACCACUUGCGCGUGAGUUCGAAACUUCAUUUUGAUUGUAGACUAUUUUCAUGCGAGAAGUGGUCAAGUUGGCUAACGGGAGAGUUUUUUUUUUUUUUAAUUUUAUUUAGCUGUUUAGCCCUGCCUAAAAUACUACCCUGGAGAACCCAGUGUUUUAUUACACUAUCAAAAACUGAAAAGUAGCGAAAUGAUCUAAAAUUGUGUCGGUGUGACUUACAUCUAAAAUGCAAAUAAAUUAGUUUUCUAUACUUGAAACAGGACAAUGCCCCAUUAUAAAUGAAAUAACUUAAUCGUACAUUCAAAUUUAAAAGGGCCAUGCUUGAAGUAAAAUAAAAUCCUCAAAUUUAAAAUCAUGUAGAAAAUUGAACGGUAGUACAGAAAUAUUUCACACAUACAUGUACUUGAUUUUUUUAACAGAUGCUAACUAUAUGCACUAUUGAACAAGUAGGGUGACAAACAUCGAUAUUAUAUAAACGAAGUCCACGGCACAGGAGUUAAAACCUACAUUGAGAACAACCAAACAAGUUGAUAGAUAUUUCAAAAUAAGGACUAAGCGAUACUUGAAUAUGGCACGUUCUUCACAACUAGUUCAGUUGUUGGUUUUGAUGGGAAUACUCGCUAUUGCAAUGAGUAAAGAAGGCUCCGACACUCUGGCUAGCAAAGUGCACUUAAUUCAAGGGAAAAUUAACCUUCCACUGAUAAACCGGGUGCGUCGCGAAAAUGAAUAUAAAAGAAGAAAUGCAUUGAUCAACCUCAUCCGUGCAAAGAUGGCUGGUUGCCAAAGUUGUCACUGCGCACCUUGUUAAGGUCCAAAUUCAAUGUAAAACCAUGCAGCACACUGUACUAUUUCCGAACUUUUCUAAUAUAUUUGCACAGCAAAGAACAAUAUCAGACUGCUUUUUCUGAAUGUUAUCUUAUCCUUUUUAGAUUCGUUUAAUAAAAUGUUAACGGACUUUAUCUGUUAUCUUACCUGAGCUUUACAAUAUAUGUUACCAGUUUCAAAAUAAAAGGACUUGCACUUGA